GCUGGGUGUGGUGGUUUACACCUGUAAUCCCAGUGGCUCAGGAGGCUGAGGCAGGAGGAUUUUGAGUUAAAGCCAACCUCUGUAAUUUAGUGAGGCCCAAAUCAACUCAUUGAGAUCCUGUCUCUA
rnacentral:sRNA from 1 species